rnacentral:sRNA from 1 species
GGUAAUUUGAGAACCCUCGCUUGCAACAUAUCACCAUAUUAUUCACCUGUUUGAUCAACCUGGAGACCCUUUAAAGAGAUCAUCCUUCAUCAUUUAUGAUAUAAUGAAUGAAUUAAUGGGAAAGAGAUUUUCUCCAAAGGACCCGGAUGAUGAUAAGUUUUUUCAGUCAGCCAUGAGCAUAUGCGCAUCUCUCAGAGAUCUAGAACUUGCCUACCAAGUACAUGGCCUUUUAAAAACCGGAGACAACUGGAAAUUCAUUGGAUCUGAUCAACAUCGUAAUUUCUAUUAUUCCAAGUUCUUCGAUUUGAUUUGUCUAAUGGAACAAAUUGAUGUUACCUUGAAGUGGUAUGAGGACCUGAUACCUUCAGCCUACUUUCCCCACUCCCAAACAAUGAUACAUCUUCUCCAAGCGUUGGAUGUGGCCAAUCGGCUAGAAGUGAUUCCUAAAAUUUGGAAAGAUAGUAAAGAAUAUGGUCAUACUUUCCGCAGUGACCUGAGAGAAGAGAUCCUGAUGCUCAUGGCAAGGGACAAGCACCCACCAGAGCUUCAGGUGGCAUUUGCUGACUGUGCUGCUGAUAUCAAAUCUGCGUAUGAAAGCCAACUCAUCAGACAGACUGCUCAGGAUUGGCCAGCCACCUCUCUCAACUGUAUAGCUAUCCUCUUUUUAAGGGCUGGGAGAACUCAGGAAGCCUGGAAAAUGUUGGGGCUUUUCAGGAAGCAUAAUAAGAUUCCUAGGUAAGUUGAAAUCAGCCAGCUCUCUUUGGGUACAGCCUGGAAGUAGCCACAUUUGGAAUUUCUUCACCAGCCUUAGCCACCACAUUUGGGCACUCUUCUGUUAGGCAAGCAUACCGUCAACUCCCUACUAUCCAGGGCAUCCUGAGGCAAGCAGUUUUUUAUCUGUGUUCACGGAUCAUCAUACAUUGGGGCUACAUUGAAUAGAUCAUCAUGAAGUCAUACUGAAUGAAUGUUGAUAAUCCAUUUGGCCCUUUAGACUUUCUAACCUCACUGGAAACAAAUAAAAAUAAAUGUUAGACUUCAUCUUUGUCUCCAGAAA